AUUGAACGCUGGCGGCAGGCCUAACACAUGCAAGUCGAACGAGUGGCGGACGGGUGAGUAAUGUCUGGGAAACUGCCUGAUGGAGGGGGAUAACUACUGGAAACGGUAGAUAAUACCGCAUACCAUCAGAUCUGCCCAGGUGGGAUUAGCUAGUUGGUGGGGUAACGGCUCACCAAGGCGACGAUCCCUAGCUGGUCUAAGAGGCUGACCAGCCACACUGGAACUGAGACACGGUCCAGACUCCUACGGGAGGCGGCAGUGGGGAAUCUGACACAAUGGGCGCAAGCCUGAUGCAGCCAUGCCGCGUGUAGGAAGAAGGCCUGCGGGUUGUAAAGUACUGUCAGCGGGGAGGCGUUACCCGCAGAAGAAGCACCGGCUAACUCCGUGCCAGCAGCCGCGGGAAUAC
rnacentral:rRNA from 1 species